rnacentral:rRNA from 1 species
AUACGGAGGAUGCGAGCGUUAUCCGGAUUUAUUGGGUUUAAAGGGUGCGUAGGCUGUGCGUUAAGUCAGGGGUGAAAUGCCGUCGCUCAACGACGGAGCUGCCCUUGAUACUGGCGUGCUGGAGUACGGAUGCCGUUGGAGGAAUGAGUGGUGUAGCGGUGAAAUGCUUAGAUAUCACUCAGAACACCGAUUGCGAAGGCAUCUGACGAAUCCGUCACUGACGCUGAGGCACGGAAGCGUGGGGAUAGAACAGGAUUAGAUACCCUGGUAUUCCACGCCGUAAACGAUGAUGACUAACCGUCGGCGAUAGACAGCCGGUGGCCAAGCGAAAGCGAUAAGUCAUCCACCUGGGGAGUACGUCGGCAACGAUGAAACUCAAAGGAAUUGGCGGGG